rnacentral:rRNA from 1 species
CACGUAGGGGACGAGCGUUGUCCGGAUUCAUUGGGCGUAAAGGGUGCGUAGGCGGCGCGGUAAGUCGGGUGAAAUCUCGGAGCUUAACUCCGAAACUGCAUUCGAUACUGCCGUGCUUGAGGACUGGAGAGGAGACUGGAAUUUACGGUGUAGCGGUGAAAUGCGUAGAUAUCGUAAGGAAGACCAGUGGCGAAGGCGGGUCUCUGGACAGUUCCUGACGCUGAGGCACGAAGGCCAGGGGAGCAAACGGG